GCCCUUUUUUUCUUAAUUCACAGAGAGGUUGAGUAACUUGGCCAGGGUUGCACAGCUGGUACAUGAUGGAGUCUGAUCCUAGAACCUGUCCUAAUCCUGUGAGUGUGGAGGGCACAACGAGCUUUCUCCUAAGGAGCCUUCAGGGGGUGCUCGUGAGCUCUCCGAGCUGGGACUAUCACGCACGCGAAACAGCAUCCUUGCGAUUGGAGGGGAGGGAAGGUUGAAGAUCCUGAGAUUUAGGCUGAGUGGGCACGGAGAGCGCGCCCCACUGGAGCGGAGAGCGGGGCCUGGUCCCCACCCGCCUCUGAGCCCGGAAAGCGGCGUCCAGCAGGUGUCGCGAGCGGAUCAGGACCAGGCUAGAGACCUGAGCGCAAGGGGAGCCCAGGAUUUAGCAAGUCCCAUCCUGCAGAUUUCAACCCUUCGCACCUUCCCGGCCCUCCGCGUCCACAAGGUUAAUGUCGGAAGUUAAUCUGGGAAAAGCAGCCCUGGGCUCUGUCUGGGUUCAGGACCCCAAGCCUGGAGAAAAGCUUAAGCCGGGGUCGCCAGCUUCUGAAUCUGUGGCCCUGUGCUCUGCGCCUUGGAACCUGGGAUUCCCGCUUUCCCAUCUCUGCGUCCACACAGCUGAUUAGAUGCCUGUUUCUUUAACGAUCGGAGGCGAAGGCGGCGGCGGGGGUGGGGUCCUUGUUCUCGGCCUGCAGUAACUGUAUCCUUGUGAACAUCGCCCCGAAGCCGCAACCCUGCGGCUCCCGCGCGUUGGGGGCGCGCGCUGCUUUCCAGCUCAGCUCGCGGGCGGAAACUGAGGUCGCGGCUCUCACAGGGGCGACUCGGGCUCCAGCCCCGCCGGGACGGGCGUAGGGCUCUGCAGGUCAAAAGCUGGGGCGCUGUCUCCUCCACCGAACCCCCAGCUCCUGCGUCCCUAGCAAGAGAGCAAGAAAAAAGGGGGCACAGAGAGGCUUCCCGGAGGCGGGCAGACAGGGCCCCUGUGGUCCUGGGAGCUUUGAGCUGAGAGCUGGAAGCCCAUUCUUCAAUCAGUCCCCAGACUCUGUCUUCUCCUCUCUCUUUCCAAGUUAUCCCUUGGCCCGCUGGCCUCCCGCAGAAAGCAAAGAGAACUAGACAGCGGUGAGAAUCGGAAGAGGGUCUGCUAGCCCUGAGCUCCCGGCCUGGAGCCUCCCUGUCUGUCCUCACACCUGUGUCCCUCUGGAGGCCCAGAAAGUCCUGGUUCUACUGCCAGGCAUCUGUCCCCUUGAAUCCCUCUGGUGGGGAAGGUUCCCAGGCCCACCCCUCAAGAUUGCCAGGAGGCGACAACCCACCCAGGAUGCUCCUCCCCACCCCGCUCUGCAGACAAAGGUGUCCCAGCCUGGCCCGCCAUUCACACCACGCCCUGGCCCAGCCAGGCCCAAACCUCAGAUCUCGUACCUAAGUUAGGGACUGCUGUAGGGUCCCCAGGCCUGGCCAGUCCUGCGCUCUCCACACCUUCUCUUCAAGGGUGCCCCAGCAGUCUCCCCUGAGGUAGGCUGUGGGGACGCAGGCCUGAGCCGGUUAGUGAUGUUCUGGGUUCAGAACUUGGCUGAUUGAGAUGUGUUGGUUCCAGCUCGCCUGGCGCCUUGCAGCUCGCAGCCACCGGAGGAAUAGGACAGAGGGAGGGGCUGAGAGUGUGCCUGCCCAGUCUGUACGUAUUUAAUUUACAAAGGAGCCACAGAACCCCAGCUGGCUGGGUGGUCUCUUGAAAUGCACCACGCAGCACCCAGUCUCUUUCCCCCACCCCCUCCUGGGCUCAUUAAAAUGCUUAACACUCAAAUAGGGAUAUUGAUCUCUGCAGAGGUCCCAAACCUGCGCACUAUUGACUGCCAAGUGAGACCUUCGCCCACCCGCCUGGGCGUGGGCUGGGGGGGAGGGGGCUCACGUGCCCGAGAUCCCAAUGUCUACAAAAGGGACAAGGAGCUGAGGCUCUGGUUCUCCAGGAGCCCAAACCCCUUUCUGGUUCUGGCCAGCAGCUCUGUCUCUUGGGCUGCUGUAGGCAGCACCAAGGCCCGAAGGGGUUUUAGCCAAAUGCCUCGACAUCCCUGUGUCUCCACCUCCCUGUCGCUAGAUCAAGUGUCUGGUUUUGCCAGAUAGGGAGAGUCGAGAACAGCAAGUCCUGAAUCUGCUGAGGCCAGCUGUUGUGUGAGGGUGUGAGACAGCGGGGUGGUGGCGUGCCAUCACACUUGGGGGACAGUGUGUGUGUGUGUGUGUGUGUGUGUGUGUGUGCGCGCGCGCUAGAGAGGCUAUGAAGAUACUGGCGGGAGUGUGUGGGGGUGCAAAUGUUAAAAUCUUACGUCCUCCUCCCACAGUGUUCAAGAAGAGCAGACGUUUUGUACCGAGCCCUGUCCCUGCCACUAUCCCCUGCAGCUCCAGUGCCCCAUUCGCCAGGAACUGACAGUGGGGUGCCUGGGUGACACGGCGCCCCACCUCUCCUCGCGGUAGCGCUGUGGACCGUGGGCUGCAAGGGCUGACUUUGCCACAAAGGCCAGACGUAAAGAAUUCUGGCCGGGCAGGGCUGCGGUGCGCUGGGGAGAGGGGCGGCUCUUCCCGGAGCGCCCUGCAGGGCUGCGCGUUUUCGUCUGGCGAGGGUGGAGGGUGAGGGGAGAAUAGGGCUUGAAUCUGCCCAGAUCCAGGCAAAAAUGGCAGGGAGGGCCAGGCGCUCUGCUAACACUAUCAAUUAUGCAUAGUGUGGAACGUGGCUUCGGGGAGGAGGCGGCUAGCAGGAGCGCAGAAGGGAACCU
rnacentral:lncRNA from 1 species